rnacentral:rRNA from 1 species
ACGAACGCUGGCGGCGUGCCUAAUACAUGCAAGUCGAACGGUCUUUCUAUGGAAGCUUGCUUCCACUGAGAAGAUAGUGGCGAACGGGUGAGUAACACGUGGGUAACCUGCCCAUAAGAGGGGGAUAACAUCCGGAAACGGGUGCUAAUACCGCAUAGUUUUCUUGAUCGCAUGAUCGGGAAAGGAAAGACGGCCUUUGUGCUGUCGCUUAUGGAUGGACCCGCGGCGUAUUAGUUAGUUGGUGAGGUAACGGCUCACCAAGACGAUGAUACGUAGCCGACCUGAGAGGGUGAUCGGCCACAUUGGGACUGAGACACGGCCCAAACUCCUACGGGAGGCAGCAGUAGGGAAUCUUCCGCAAUGGACGAAAGUCUGACGGAGCAACGCCGCGUGAGUGAAGAAAAGGUUUUCGGAUCGUAAAACUCUGUUGUCAGAGAAGAACAAGUUGGAGAGUAACUGCUCCAGCCUUGACGGUAUCUGACCAGAAAGCCACGGCUAACUACGUGCCAGCAGCCGC